UACGAAGGGGGCUAGCGUUGCUCGGAAUUACUGGGCGUAAAGGGCGCGUAGGCGGACAGCUUAGUCAGAGGUGAAAGCCCAGGGCUCAACCUUGGAACUGCCUUUGAUACUGACUGUCUUGAGUUCGGGAGAGGUGAGUGGAAUGCCGAGUGUAGAGGUGAAAUUCGUAGAUAUUCGGCGGAACACCAGUGGCGAAGGCGACUCACUGGCCCGAUACUGACGCUGAGGCGCGAAAGCGUGGGGAGCAAACAGG
rnacentral:rRNA from 1 species